GAAAAACUAAUAAAUGCCAAUGACACAAAGUACGCUCGAUGCUUCAAUUACUACUUGAAACUUUCACCUUCUCGCGAGCUUUCUGGGCCA
rnacentral:sRNA from 9 species